rnacentral:rRNA from 1 species
AUUGAACGCUGGCGGCAGGCCUAACACAUGCAAGUCGAACGAGUGGCGGACGGGUGAGUAAUGUAUGGGGAACUGCCUGCUGGAGGGGGAUAACUACUGGAAACGGUGGCUAAUACCGCAUACCAUCGGAUGUACCCAUAUGGGAUUAGCUAGUAGGUGGGGUAAAGGCUCACCUAGGCGACGAUCCCUAGCUGGUCUGAGAGGAUGACCAGCCACACUGGGACUGAGACACGGUCCAGACUCCGACGGGUGGCAGCAGUGGGGAAUAUUGCACAAUGGGCGCAAGCCUGAUGCAGCCAUGCCGCGUGUAUGAAGAAGGCCUUCGGGUUGUAAAGUACUUUCAGCGGGGAGGCGUUACCCGCAGAAGAAGCACCGGCUAACUCCGUGCCAGCAGCCGCGGUAAUUC